CUGUUUCUUUGUUGGAUUUUGUUUUCUCUUCAGCCGGCCACGAAAGAUUUUCCUUCUCCCUCUCCAGCCGGUUCCAACAUCUUCUUCUUCCCUCACCGGCUAGCAGGAGUCUUUCCUUCACCAGCAGCCGCUGUCCCAUUCCAGCCGGCGCUCCUUUACCUUCCUUCUCCCAUAGCCGGGUCUCUCUCAACUGACCCAGCAGCUGCUCCAUCUCUUCCACCAAGAGCAGCGGCAGCAGCACUCAGCAACAAGGCCAACCACCGCUGCCAACAACAGGAGCAAACACCACCGGCGCGCCACCAGCCUCGACAGCUCCACCAAGCGCAGCGGCAGCCCCCGCUGUCUUCUUCUCCUCCGAUCUCCAUCAACGCCGGCUCCACAAGGUCACAGCAGCAGAGCCGUUCCCCAUCUCCUCAGACCCACGGCUCCCGCUUCAACCAGCGAGUCUUUCCUUCCUCAACCGCCGAACAGCCUCCAGCGGCAGCAACCAACCCAGCAGCGCCCACAGACCAGCAAUCCUUGGUCAUGCCGCCGGUCACCUGAACUGAAGGAGAGGGAGACGCAACGGCAACGAAAGAACAGAUCUGCCGAUCUGCAGAUCUAAAGGAAAAAGGGAGGCAAAUUCAAAAACCUGUGAUUGUUUGUGUUUUCUCUUGUUUCUGCAGGUCACCGACAGUACGGACGGGAAGAGGAGAAGGAGACGAUCCCGAUCUACUAGCUUGAUGGUCUUCACCGGCUGUGGCGCGUAGGCCCACGCGCCGCCAGUGACGGUGGCGCGUGGGAGGACGCGCCACCAUGAAUUUCUGCAAUUCCAGAAGGGUUCCUUUGCAAUUCCUGGAGUUUUAGGGACUGUUUUGUAAAUUUUAAAUUAUUUGAUGUAAUUUUUAUUUAUUUAUGAAUU